AACCCUCUCUCUCCCCAACGCUCCCCUAACGGACACAAUAGCCUAGCCGACCCUCUCUCACAGCUCUCCUCUCUUUCACCCACGACAGCUCUUCGCUCACACCGGCUCUCUAAGGCACGGCAGCUACCUAUUACGCCGGCUCUGUCAUAUCCCAGAUAAAUUUCCAAUUACGUCUGAAACCGUGGAAAUCACUGAAAACAGAAAAUUAAUUGUAGGUGUUGGUCGUCCUGGUUUGGUGUUACCGACUCAAACCGUGCGGUGUAGUUUAACUAUCAAACUGCAAGUUUGGUACACCUUAGCUGCCUGUGUAAGAAGAAGGGGAGUGUUAUUUUUAUAUGGGGAAAUCUGGGGGAAGGAAGAAAAAGGGUGGUUCGAACCAAGUUUCUGGGGAUAACAUUUCAACCCCUAUUGCUAAUGGUUCUGUGGAUUUGGAUUCUUCCAUAUUUUUGAAGAGAGCCCAUGAGCUUAAAGAGGAAGGGAACAAGAGGUUUCAGAACAAGGAUUAUGUGGGUGCUCUUGAGCAGUAUGAUAAUGCGCUUAGGCUCACACCGAAAACUCACCCAGAUAGGGCAGUCUUUCAUAGCAAUAGAGCGGCUUGUCUUAUGCAAAUGAAGCCUGUAGAUUACGAAGUUGUGAUUGCUGAGUGUUCUAUGGCACUCCAGGUUCAGCCACGGUUCAUCAGGGCCCUUCUUAGAAGGGCUCGGGCAUUUGAGGCUAUUGGGAAGCAUGAAAUGGCUAUGCAGGAUGUGCAGUUGUUGUUGGGGGCUGAACCGAAUCAUCGAGACGCCUUGGAUAUUGCUCAGCGGCUGCGGACAGCACUUGGGCCUCGUCAAGAGGCACAACAAGAUCUUCAGAGUCGCCCUUCCCCUGCCGCGCUUGGAGCAUCUGCAGUCCGUGGUGCUCCAAUUGCUGGGUUGGGACCAUGUCUUCCAACCCGAUCAGUGCAAAAGAAGGCAACUACUUUGACCGGGCUAUCUGCUGCCUCUACAAACAACAAGGCUGACAAGUCUCAGACAAUUCUUGUAGCUGAAAAUGGUGCUGAGCCCAAAACACAGUUACCAAAACUUCAAUUGAAGCCAUCAAACAAUUCAGCAAAACCUCACAGUUUAAGUAAUCAAAAGGAACCAUCAUCUUCUUCCUCAGUAUCUUUUUCAACUCAUGGGCAGUAUUUGGAUGCAGCAGUUCAAUGGAGGCCAUUGAAGCUUGUUUAUGAUCAUGACAUAAGGCUUGCCCAAAUGCCUGUUAAUUGUGGUUUUAGAGUGUUGAGGGAAGUUGUGACCAAACGCUUUCCAUCGUCUAAGUCAGUUUUGAUCAAGUACAAGGAUAGUGAUGGGGACUUGGUGACUAUAACCUCUACAGAUGAACUUAGGUUGGCCGAGUCUUGUGCUGAUAGCCAUGUUCUAAAAGAUCCUGGAACUGAUAAAGCAGAUUCAGUUGGGAUGUUGAGACUGCAUAUUGUGGAGGUAAGUCCUGAACAAGAGCCACCUCUUCUGGAAGAAGAAGAGGAGAAACCCACCGAGAAUGAGAUUAAGGGAUAUGAAAGUGGAUCUCAUUCCUCUCUUGGUGAAUCUUUGUUGGAAGCUACUGAUUCUGUAGUUGAUAAGACAGAUAAAGAAGCUCCAAAAGAGAAACCAGCACCUUCAGAAGUUCCUGAGGCAAAGGAACUUGAAAUGGAUGAUUGGUUGUUUGAGUUUGCUCAACUUUUCCGCACCCAUGUUGGUAUUGACCCUGAUGCUCAUAUUGAUUUACAUGAGCUUGGAAUGGAGUUGUGCUCAGAGGCACUUGAGGAGACAGUAACUAGUGAAGAGGCUCAGAGUCUUUUUGAUAAGGCAGCCUCAAAGUUCCAGGAGGUGGCUGCCUUGGCUUUUUUCAAUUGGGGAAAUGUUCAUAUGUGUGCAGCUAGGAAGCGAAUUCCUUUAGAUGAAUCUGCUGGAAAAGAAGUAGUGACCACCCAGCUUCAAACAGCUUAUGACUGGGUUAAGGAAAAAUAUUCUUUAGCCAGGGAGAAAUACGAAGAAGCACUCUCCAUUAAGCCAGACUUUUACGAGGGGUUACUGGCACUGGGGCAACAACAUUUUGAAAUGGCUAAACUUCAUUGGUCUUUUGCAGUUGCUAAGAAAAUAGAUCUUGCAAGUUGGGAUUCUUCAGAAACAUUGAAACUGUUUGACAGUGCAGAAGAGAAGAUGAAAGUUGCCACUGAGAUGUGGGAGAAGUUGGAGGAGCAGAGAGAAAAAGAGCUCAAGGAUCCAAAUGCAGUCAAGAGGGAAGAAUUCCUGAAAAGAAAGAAAAAACAAGGAAGUGGAAACGAAGGUGAGUCCUCUGGAGUAGGUGGUCAGGUUGAGAUUUCAGCUGAGGAAGCAGCAGAACAAGCAGCGGUGAUGAGAUCACAAAUUCAUUUGUUCUGGGGAAAUAUGCUUUUUGAACGAUCCCAAGUAGAGUGUAAACUAGGAAUGGGUGGUUGGCAGAAGAAUCUGGAUGCUGCAACUGAGCGGUUUAAACUUGCUGGAGCUUCGGAGACAGAUAUUUCAAUGGUUCUGAAGAACCAUUGCUCCAAUGUUGAUUCAGCUGAAGAAGGCAAGAAGGUGCUUCCUCUAAACGGUGUUGAUGUACCAAAAAAUAACGGGGAAAACAUUCAGUUGUGUAGAUGAUAUCAUUGGUGGCGAGCUUCUUAUUAGGAAUAGGCUUACUGCAGGCUUAUUGGCAGUUAGAAACCUCAACCUGUUCUAUCUUCGGCACUCAAGUCUCUAUUCUAAAUAUUUGUGCAAAUAAAUCCUCAUACUUAAUAGAUGCUUGGAGCUGUUAAUAAUUAUGCUUAAACCGUUCAGUGUUGCUGUCAAAUACACAUUUGAUUCUUAGUAGGGGUAUUGAAUGGAAAAAUAUUGUAAUUAUUAGGGCAAUCCUUUCAUUUUUUUUCUCUAAAAUUUGCAAUUUUUUCUUCCAAUCCAUGUGGUGCACUAUUCGAUAACGUUGUUGUCCAUUCGACGCUUUAUUGUUGCCGGUGUGUUUUCCACCACUUCUUCCCAGUGGACAAAAGAGAAAUGAUGAUAUAUGGGUUACAGUGUGCUUUUAUUUGGCAAAAAUGAAAUGGUGGAAAUGGUGAAUCAUGAGUAGAACGCUGGGCUUUGGAAUUGAUGUUUGGAUUAUUAAGUACAAAAAAUAUUUUGUGUUGAUCCUUGUUGACGUAUAUGAUUGGAUUUUGUUACAAAUUUUGGACUUCACACGUUUGAAAAUUUAGGCUUAUACUUGUAAUUGUUUAUGAUCAGCUUUGGCAAUGUAGCUCUUUUCCUGAAAUAACAAAGUCAAGUCUCUGCAGAUGAAAAUGGAGUUAUUAAAUAUGAAAAUGAGCUUUAACAUGACUUUUUUUAUUAGAAACUGGAUUAGUCCUACUGAUGUUCCAAAAAUUUGGAGGGUUUGGAGAAUGUGUUUUAUACAAGUGCAACAAUAGAAAUGGUAUAUGUCAAAUGCCAGCUUUUGUUCUAUCUUAA